ensembl:rRNA 5S_rRNA 5S ribosomal RNA
GUCUAUGGCCAUGCCACACUGAUUGCGCCUGAUCUCUUCUGAUCUUGGAAGCUAAGCAGUGUCAGGCCUCGUUAGUACUUGGAUGGGAGACUGCCACCUAGGAAUAUUGGGUGCUGUAGGCG